rnacentral:rRNA from 1 species
AUUGAACGCUGGCGGCAGGCUUAACACAUGCAAGUCGAGCGUGAGGCGGACGGGUGAGUAAUGUCUGGGAAACUGCCUGAUGUACGGGGAUCACUACUGGAAACGGUUGCUAAUACCGCAUACCUUCCGUUGUGCCCAGAUGGGAUUAGCUAGUAGGUGGGUUAAUGGCUCACCGAGGCGACGAUCCCUAGCUGGUCUGAGAGGAUGACCGGCAACACUGGGACUGAGACACGGCCCGGAGUCCUACGGGAGGCAGAAGUAGGGAAUAUUGAGCAAUGGGCGCAAGUGUGAAGGAUCAAGGCCGCGUGUGUGAAGAAGGACUUCGGGUCGUAAAACACUGUCAGUGAAGAGGCAUUACUCACAGAAAAAGCACCGGCUAACUCCGUGCCAGCCGCCGCGGUAAUGC